rnacentral:misc_RNA from 1 species
AAGUCGUAACAAGGUUUCCGUAGGUGAACCUGCGGAAGGAUCAUUAACACGAAUACAUCCAUAUUCACACUCAACGGCAACGCUUUAUCCUCCCUGCUUUACAUUGUUUAUCUUAUCAUUCUUUGAUAAGUGAAGGAUGUGAACAGGCUAUCCGCUUUUCCCUUCAUUGAAAGGAAAUGCCCCAAUUUUUAAACAAAACCCCAAUCACCUUUCCGCUUGUGUGUGUCCCUUGUGUCCACAGAAGCGACUUUGUGAUUGUUCCCUUUUACCUUAGUAAAAGGAUCAAUCGACUAUAUAUUCAAUAAGAAACAACUCUUAACAAUGGAUAUCUAGGUUCUC